UGGGGAAUAUUGCACAAUGGGCGCAAGCCUGAUGCAGCAACGCCGCGUGAAGGAAGACGGUCUUCGGAUUGUAAACUUCUGUUCUUAGUGAAGAAAAAUGACGGUAGCUAAGGAGCAAGCCACGGCUAACUACGUGCCAGCAGCCGCGGUAAUACGUAGGUUGCAAGCGUUGUCCGGAUUUACUGGGUGUAAAGGGCGUGUAGGCGGAGAUGCAAGUCGGGAGUGAAAUCCAUGGGCUUAACCCAUGAACUGCUCUCAAAACUGUAUCCCUUGAGUAUCGGAGAGGCAAGCGGAAUUCCUAGUGUAGCGGUGAAAUGCGUAGAUAUUAGGAGGAACACCAGUGGCGAAGGCGGCUUGCUGGACGACAACUGACGCUGAGGCGCGAAAGCGUGGGGAGCAAACAGGAUUAGAUACCCUGGUAGU
rnacentral:rRNA from 1 species